AAUUUGUUAAUUUCGGGAUCGUUUUUACGUAAAAACACCUAUUUUCAUGUAAAUGAUAUAAAGUAUAUGGAAACUUUUUUCUGGUAUCACUGUCAAUAUUGUACUGUCAGUGUCAAGGUUACGUUUAAAAUUCUUGUUCCGUUAACCGUCAGGAAAGAAAAGUGUGUGGAAAAGUGUGAUAAGCUCUGAAAUAAAUAGCUUUAUCUUAACAUUUUAUCAUGGUAAGUUUCGUUUCUAUGUACAUUAGUAGCUGCACAUAUGUAUUUGAAGAAUUUAACUUGUGCUUGUUUCAUUUUAGGAGUCUUCAGGAACAAGAGCCCCACGCAAACGUGUGGCUAAUUUCACGGCGGACGAAAAAGCUUUGUUAGCACAAUUAGUUAAAAAGAGACCAAUCGUGGAAUCUUAAAUAACAGAUGGCAAGUCAGAGUCCAAGAAACAAGCAGCAUGAGAUAGUAUAACACAGGAGUUCAAUCAGGAAUCAAUCACCAACUUCCAGACUACGGGCUGCUUUGUGAAAGUUUAAGAAAACUCAAAAAGCGAUUUCGGCCCGACCUCCGACCGGCCGAGACCUCGAGCACAGCAGCCGCGCUUGCGACCACUAGAUCAACGAGGAAGUCAAAUAAACUUUGUACUACAUAAUUGGCCUCUUGUUCAACAAUUAAAAAAGUAUUCCUCUUA
rnacentral:lncRNA from 1 species